UCCUAUGAAGUAGAUACCUGCCUAUAUAGCUAGUAAAUAGCAGAGCCAGCAGGUAAAACCAAAUGCUUUUUUUCUUAGUAACUUCAUUUUACUGUGUCAAGAAAUAUUUGAGUGCAUGAGUGCACAAAGGAAAAAAGGAAAAAGGAACCUCGUCCUCAGGUCUUUAGCCUGAUACUGGUUGCUCCUGAACACUGGUUUCUCUCUUUAGCCUUCAACCUGGACUACUACACAGAGGUUCUGGACCUCUCCUACCUGCUUGACCACCUGGCUUCUGACCCUUUCUUCCGCCACUACCGCCAGCUCAAUGAGAAGCUAGUGCAGCUCAUCGAAGACUAUAGCCUUGUCUCCUUUAUCCCUCUCAACAUCCAGGACAAGGAGAGCAUCCAGCGAGUCCUGCAGGCUGUGGAUAAAGCCAAUGGAUACUGUUUCAGAGCCCAAGAGCAGCGAAGCUUGGAAGCCAUGAUGUCUGCCGCAAUGGGAGCCGACUUCCAUUUCUCUUCCACACUGGGCAUCCAGGAGAAGUACCUGGCACCCUCGAACCAGUCAGUGGAGCAGGAAGCCAUGCAGCUGUAGCAACAAGGUGGACCCUGGAGAGCAGGAUGCAUAAUCCAGCACUGGGGAAAGUGGAGGCUCCUGAUGCAGGCUGCAGACCCAAGAGCAAGUCCUCCCAGCCAGAGCUGGCGGGCUGGCAAGGGGAUAUUCAGCUCUGCAAAGGACUUCUGGCCAAAAAGCCAGACAUGGUGCCAAGC
rnacentral:lncRNA from 1 species